UAAAAAUGAAAUUGAAGGAGAAUUGGCAAUGAAACGCUUCAUAUUGUUGCGCGUCAACCUCUGCUGCGGUUGAGAGCUCACUUGCCCACUUGGUUGGAUUCGCAACUGACAAGUCUUUGGUUGCAGCAGCUCCAAAAUUCCAAUAGAAUUUCGUCGCAUCUCAAUCCUCUGCAGAUAUGCAGCAGAGAGUAACGAUACCAAACAAGCAUGCCAAAAAUCUUGUUGGUACAUUGCAUGACAUUGACACGGGUUCACCACAGCUUGUAGUUCUGUGCCAUGGUUUCCGGUCCACAAAGGAGUACAAAAUCAUGGUUAAUCUUGCUGGAGCUUUACAAAAAGAAGGAAUCAGUGCUUUUCGCUUUGAUUUCUCUGGAAAUGGUGUACCGAAAUGAUCAUCUUGAUCAUUAGCCACCUUAACAACAUCUUUGGGUUAGGUUUCAUAUUGUACCGAAAAUCACGG